GAACCAUCUUUAAGUAUUUAUGAAAUACUAAGGACCAAUGGCUCGUUUAUGGAGAAUCUGACCUAAAACCUGUAGAAUAUUGAUUUUAGUUUCUAGUCGAAUUGAAAUGACAAAGUUGUGUCAGAUUGUGUUUUUAUCCUAAAAAGAUGAGCGACAUGCUGAAAAGGUUCCAUGCAAUAUUUAGUUGCCAAUUUUAUUUAUGAUAUGAAAUUUUUUGUGGUAUUUGAUGCUGUUAAAAAAAAUUAUUUGGUUAUGGAAGUUCAUUAGCAAGCUUGGAGAGGCACCCUCCAUUGAUAGUCCAGUACUUCUAUAUUGACAGCACUACUGUAACCAUAGUUCAAGCAAAAAAUUGAUGUUCUAUCUAAAGAAUCAAACACUUUCUGCAUUGCAAUCACCUUAUUUGAUAGGAUCGAAAUAAAGUUGACCUUAGGAAGAUCGAUCGAAAGGAGAACUUGAUCGACCCAUUGACUAGAGCAAUCAGAUCUAAAGAGUUCAAUGAUAUAAAAUGGAAUAUGGGUAUUUGAUACCGAUCUGAUUGGCUUGAGUCCAAGUGAGAGUUGUUGGACAAUAUACCAUAAAA
rnacentral:lncRNA from 1 species